UCUCUCGUAGCUUAGUGGUAAGAGCGUUGGUGCGUAAAGCCAAAGGUUCUGAGAUCGAUUCCCGGCGAGGGUG
rnacentral:tRNA from 1 species